rnacentral:rRNA from 1 species
CCAAGGAGUCUAACAUGUGCGCGAGUCACUCGGUCUUGAAUAGGCCAGAGAGGCGCAAUGAAAGUAAAGUUGAUUGAGUUACGAUCCUUAGUUAGCCCGCAAGGGCGCUGAGGCGCAGUAACAGCCCGCCAAUUUCGCUUAUUGACGAUCUGGCGGAGUUGUAGCGUACACGUUGGUACCCGAAAGAUGGUGAACUAUGCCUGGGCAAGACGAAGCCAGAGGAAACUCUGGUGGAGGUCUGUAGCGAUUCUGACGUGCAAAUCGAUCGUCAGACCUGGGUAUACGGGCGAAAGACUAAUCGAACCAUC